rnacentral:lncRNA from 1 species
GUUUCCUUAGUGAGGUAUAAUAAGCUUCCAGAAGGUUGGGGGUUGGUGACAGUAGUAUGCUAUCCUCCUUUACCAGGUCGUGGUUUCCUGAGCAUCUCUGACAUUGCUGAUCCUGGCUGAUUCCAUGCACGGGGCAUUGCAUGGCAUUUGGUUGCUGUUGGACAAAGAAGAGAGAAUUGGGGAAGCUGUUAUAUCUGCUCGCCACAUAAACCACACCGUGAAGACCCGAGGGAGCCCCAGCAGUCACAAAACCUGUGAAUUCCCUGGAGUAUUACAUUCUCCCAUUCAGAGCGUGGACAAGAGUUUGGCAUUGCGCUUUUACAGAUCGCUGCUGGUAGCGGAGCACAAAGGGAACGGCGAGACUCCUGCAUCUUUCAGCAAGAAGAAAGGAGUCAGCGGAGCAGACUAAUACGGACUUGUGUCGGGUGGCCUUGCCCUACAAAGGCUGCCUUUAAAAGAGAAACGCAGUGUUAUUUAAUGAGCUGUGAGAUGAGGUGCUGCUGCUAACGCUCAGAUCCCGGGAUUCAUCGGCUAUUCAUUGUGCUUAAUGUACAUGUUUCUGCACCGUGCAUUUAGGAGAACCCAGAGAAGAAUCCAAAACGGCUG